rnacentral:rRNA from 1 species
AGCCCGGAGAUGGAUUCUGAGACACGAAUCCAGGCCCUACCGGGGUGCAGCAGGCGCGAACACUUUACAAUGCGGGAAACCGCGAUAAGGGAACCCCGAGUGCCAGCAUCAAAUGUUGGCUGUCCGGAUGAUUAAAAAUCAUUUGUUAGCAAGGGCCGGGCAAGACCGGUGCCAGCCGCCGCGGUAACACCGGCGGCCCGAGUGGUAGCCGUUUUUAUUGGGUCUAAAGGGUCCGUAGCCGGCCUGAUCAGUCCUUUGGGAAAUCUGGCAGCUUAACUGUCAGGCUUCUAAGGGAUACUGUCAGGCUUGGGACCGGAAGAGGUAAGGGGUACUCCAGGGGUAGGAGUGAAAUCUUGUAAUNCCCUGGGGGACCAUCUGUGGCGAAGGCGCCUUACCAGAACGGGUCCGACGGUGAGGGACGAAAGCUAGGGGAGCAAACCGGAUUAGAUACCCGGGUAGUCCUAGCUGUAAACGAUGCUCGCUAGGUGUCAGACACGGUGCGACCGUGUUUGGUGCCGNCAGGGAAGCCGUUAAGCGAGCCACCUGGGAAGUACGGUCGNCAAGGCUGAAACUUAAAGGAAUU